rnacentral:tRNA from 2 species
GGACGCUUAGCUCAGUUGGGAGAGCAUAGGGUCACUGGUUCAAGCCCAGUAGCGUCCACCA